GAUGAAGAACGUAGCGAAAUGCGAAAAGUAGUGUGAAUUGCAGAAUUCAGUGAAUCAUCGAAUCUUUGAACGCACAUUGCGCCUCCUGGCAUUCCGGGAGGCAUGCCUGUUCGAGCGUCAUCAAACCCCAUCGUGCAAAUGAAUUAUUUUUUUUGCGCGGAAGUGACGAUUGAGCGAGAAUAACAAAUCCUCUCGCACCUCGUCGAAAUGAUUGCGGGCGGAAUUUGGGAUCGGGUUCCUCGGCGUAGUGUAUCAAUGCAUAUUUAUGCAACUUGCCGCGGAGUUGAGCCUGACCCACGCGUUCUCGCCGUACAAACACCUCAUUACUUUACAAGUUUUUGACCUCGGAUCAGGUAGGGAUACCCGCUGAACUUAAGCAUAUCAAUAAGCGGAGGA
rnacentral:misc_RNA from 1 species